rnacentral:rRNA from 2 species
AGAGUUUUGAUCCUGGCUCAGGACGAACGCUGGCGGCGUGCCUAAUAACAUGCAAGUCGAGCGGACAGAUGGGAGCUUGCUCCCCUGAAGUCAGCGGCGGACGGGUGAGUAACACGGGGGCAACCUGCCUGUAAGACUGGGAUAACUCCGGGAAACCGGGGCUAAUACCGGAUAAUUCUUUCCCUCACAUGAGGGAAAGCUGAAAGAUGGUUUCGGCUAUCACUUACAGAUGGGCCCGCGGCGCAUUAGCUAGUUGGUGAGGUAACGGCUCACCAAGGCAACGAUGCGUAGCCGACCUGAGAGGGUGAUCGGCCACACUGGGACUGAGACACGGCCCAGACUCCUACGGGAGGCAGCAGUAGGGAAUCUUCCGCAAUGGACGAAAGUCUGACGGAGCAACGCCGCGUGAGUGAUGAAGGUUUUCGGAUCGUAAAACUCUGUUGUUAGGGAAGAACAAGUACCGGAGUAACUGCCGGUACCUUGACGGUACCUAACCAGAAAGCCACGGCUAACUACGUGCCAGCAGCCGCGGUAAUACGUAGGUGGCAAGCGUUGUCCGGAAUUAUUGGGGCGUAAAGCGCGCGCAGGCGGUUCCCUUAAGUCUGAUGUGAAAGCCCCCCGGCUCAACCGGGGGAAGGGUUCAUUGGGAAACUGGGGAACUUGAGUGCAGAAGAGAAGAGUGGAAUUCCACGUGUAGCGGUGUUUUCGUAGAGAUGUGGAGGAACACCAGUGGCGAAGGCGACUCUUGGUCUGUAACUGACGCGAGCGCAAUGUCC